UGGAGCCUGCGGUUUAAUUGGACUCAACGCCGGGCAGCUCACCGGAUAAGACAGCUGGAUGAUAGCCGGGCUGAAGACUCUGCUUGACUAGCUGAGAGGAGGUGCAUGGCCGUCGUCAGUUCGUACUGUGAAGCAUCCUGUUAAGUCAGGCAACGAGCGAGACCCACGCCAACAGUUGCCAGCAUGUCCUCCGGGAUGAUGGGGACACUGUUGGGACCGCCUCUGCUAAAGAGGAGGAAGGAAUGGGCAACGGUAGGUCAGCAUGCCCCGAAUUAUCCGGGCUACACGCGGGCUACAAUGGUCAGGACAAUGGGUAUCGACACCGAGAGGUGGAGGCAAUCUCCUAAACCUGUCCUUAGUUCGGAUUGUGGGCUGCAACUCCGCCCACAUGAAGCUGGAAUCCGUAGUAAUCGCGUUUCAAAAUAGCGCGGUGAAUAUGUCCCUGCUCCUU
rnacentral:rRNA from 1 species